rnacentral:ncRNA from 2 species
GACCGGUGACAGGGGUGCCCGCAGGCCGACUGCGGGCUGAGAUCACACCCUUUGAACCUGAUCCGGUUCGCACCGGCGAAGGGAGUUCCGUAUGAGCUGCC